rnacentral:misc_RNA from 1 species
AACGCACAUUGCGCUCUCUGGUAUUCCGGAGAGCAUGCUUGUUUGAGUAUCAGUAAACACCUCAACUCCUUUAUUGUAGUUGGACUUGAGCUAUCCCAACAGGACUUUUGUUCCUGGCGGGAGGCUUGAAAUGCAGGUGCAGCUGGACUUUUAUCUGAGCUAAAAGCAUAUCUAUUUAGUCCUCGUCAAACAGGAUUAUUACUUUUGCUGCAGCUAACAUAAAGGAUAAUUGUCCUCUUUGCUGACUGAUGCAGGAUUUUACGACACUUUAUGUGUUGUUCAACUCGAUCUCAAAUCAAGUAAGACUACCCGCUGAACUUAA